CCCUUAGAUGUCCUGGGCCGCACGCGCGCUACACUGAUGCAUGCAACGAGUAUAUAACCUUGGCCUGAAGGGCCUGGGUAAUCUUUUGAACGUGCAUCGUGAUAGGGAUAGAUUAUUGCAAUUAUUAAUCUUGAACGAGGAAUUCCUAGUAAACGCGAGUCAUCAGCUCGCAUUGAUUACGUCCCUGCCCUUUGUACACACCGCCCGUCGCACCUACCGAUUGAAUGGUUCGGUGAAGAUCUCGGACUUCGAUAUUUGUUCUUCAUUGAACUUAUAUAGUGGGAAGUUAUCUGAACCUCAUCAUUUAGAGGAAGGUGAAGUCGUAACA
rnacentral:rRNA from 1 species